rnacentral:rRNA from 1 species
UACAGAGGGUGCAAGCGUUAAUCGGAAUUACUGGGCGUAAAGCGCGCGUAGGUGGUUCGUUAAGUUGGAUGUGAAAUCCCCGGGCUCAACCUGGGAACUGCAUUCAAAACUGUCGAGCUAGAGUAUGGUAGAGGGUGGUGGAAUUUCCUGUGUAGCGGUGAAAUGCGUAGAUAUAGGAAGGAACACCAGUGGCGAAGGCGACUUCCUGGCCUGUUCUUGACGCUGAGGCGCGAAAGCUAGGGGAGCAAACGGG